rnacentral:lncRNA from 1 species
GAGGAGUCGGCCCCGAGACGUGCGGCGGUUGGAGGCUUUGCUGGAAGCGGGAAGGCUGAUGCUAGGGUUUCCUAACCCUUCCUUUUCCAUUAAUUUCGGGCCUGGGUUAGGAAUUAGCUAUUGGUCCCGUUAUUGGAUUUGUAACAAAAUUGGACUGAAACAUUUGCCUUUGUUUCUGUUUGGUUUUUAUUUAUUUAACGGGCCGGGCAGAAAUUGGGCCCUAUAGCUGCCCCUCUUUGCUCGUUGUCAUGUAACAGGAACAGAGCAAAGACUACAUGGCCCAAUUGUGCCUGGUCUUACUGAGCCUUGACUUCUUCAAUACUUCUCCUCUUCAGGUAGCCUCGUUCCUUCCUACUGCAUCUUCAGAGGUACAGGAAUUGGUGCUUCUGUCUACUUCACUGUAAUGUUGGGGAGGUAAGACCUGUAUCUUCGAUCUACUUCACACUAGUAUGGAAAGACACGAUCUGCUAUCUCUGAUCUAUUUCAUGUCAAUACAUGAAAACAGGAUCCAUUAUCUUUGAUCUACUUCACCACUAGUAUGGGAAGACAAGAUCUGCCAUCUUCGAUCUACUUCAUGUCAAUACAUGAAGACAAGAUCCACUAUCUCUGAUCUACUUCAUGUCAAUACAUGAAGACAAGAUCCAUUAUCUUCGAUCUACUUCAUGUCAAUACAUGAAGACAAUAUCCGCUAUCUUCGAUAUACUUCAUGUCAAUAAAUGAAGACAAGAUCCACUAUCUCUGAUCUACUUCAUGUCAAUACAUGAAGACAAGAUCCAUUAUCUUCGAUCUACUUCAUGUCAAUACAUGAAGACAAGAUCCGCUAUCUUCGAUCUACUUCAUGUCAAUACAUGAAGACAAGAUCCACUAUCUUUGAUCUACUUCAUGUCAAUACAUGAAGACAAGAUCUGCUAUCUCUGAUCUACUUCAUGUCAAUACAUGAAGACAAUAUCCAUUAUCUUCGAUCUACUUCACCACCAGUAUGGGAAGACAAGAUCUGUUGCUUUUUCACCUGCUCCACUGUUGCUCAGGGAGAUAAGGCUUUAUAAUCUCACUGAUCUGUUCUCUGCGGAACAUGACCUGUAUGAUUCAUUUCAUGAGCCUAAUUAUGCCUAAUGACUGGGAUGAUCAAAAUGAAUCAAAUGCUUUUAGCUAGAUGUAUAUGAAUUUACAUUUAAAUGUUAUGUCAUGAAAAUGAUUAAUGUUGAAGUUGUUAUUGCUCAUUAUUCAUUAAGGCUUCCUUUAUGGAAACAAAACUUCGACCAAACUUGAGAAUUUUUAAUCUAGAUACUUCAUUCCCAGAUAUUCCCCACCUUUAAACUCAGUGAGGUCUAAACAAUAAUCCUGUUUCAGGUUCUUGAGCUAUUUAGAGAUUUCUAGAGUAAUAUGAAAAAACUUCCCUUAUAAAAGUUUUAUUAGUUCAUUAAUCGUUAUUCUAAUGCAACAUGCUUGCGUAAAGAUAAUAACGAUGGAUAGAACAAAAUUGAUUUGAGAGCAUAACUUGCAAUAAAUUAUCAAUGAUAGCAAGUCUAAAAUAGGAAUUGACUGGAAACACUUAUAUUGAAAAAGAAAGAAAUGUUCUAGAAACAACAAAUUCAAUAUAAAUACUAUGAACAAGUGCCCCAGAUAUCUUUGCUUGAAUUUCUCUAUACAACUUUUUGAAGACCCUUCUGAAUUCAACACAUGUUUAGGAGAUUUACAGUUCUUUGUUGAUGUCUCAAGAUGUCGCCUAUUCCCUCCUACUGAAUUAGGUACAACAAGAUCACCAUAUGCCUCAAUCAAAAUUUGAGCCACCCUUUUUUGGGGUUUUCAACUCAAAUCCCCUUUGGUCUUAAGGUGCCCUUUGCGGGUUUUCACCUUAGCCUCUCCCUUUUUUUUUUUGGAAUUCAAAGCGCCAUUUGUGGGUUUUCACCUUGGUUCAUUCUCCUUCUUAGGUAAAGUACUUCUUAACCGAAUCUGAAUUUACUGGAUUAGGCAAGUUUCUUCCAUCCAUCUCAGCCAAGAUCAAGGCUCCCCCAAAAAAUGAUUUUUUCACAACAUAAAGUCCUUCCCAAUUUGGCAUCCACUUCCCUCUAAAGUCCUUUUGUAGAGGUAGAAUUUUUCUCACACCAGGUUCCCCUCGUGAAAUUCUCUGGGACGGAACUUUUUAUUAUAGGCUCGCAUCAUUCUUUUCUGGUACAUUUGACAAUGCUGGAUAGCCUUCAACCUUUUCCCUUCUAUUAAGUUCAACUGAUCGUAUCGAGAUUGGACCCAUUCUGCUUCAUCCAACUUUAGCUCAGUCAACACCUGAAGAGAAGGGAUUUCAACUUCAAUUGGUAAAACUACCUCCAUUCCAUAAACCAAGGAGAAAAGCGUUACCCCGGUGGAGGUUCUGAUUGACGUUCGAUAAGCAAGGAGAGCGAACAAUAAUUUUUCAUGCUAGUCCCUGUAAGUCUCGGUCAUUUUUCCCACAAUCUUCUUUGUAUUUUUAUUGGCCGCUUCCACUGCACCAUUCAUUUUUGGGCGAUACGGCGAUGAAUUGUGAUGUUUGAUCUUGAAUUGACUACAGACUUCCGCUAUUGAGCUGUUGUUCAAGUUCAACGCAUUGUCGGAUAUGAUUCUUUCGGGCAUUCCAUAUCGACAUAUGAUCUCUCUUUUCAAGAACUUACUGACUGCUGACUUUGUGACGUUAGCAUAUGAAGCAGCUUCUACCCAUUUGGUAAAGUAGUCAAUAACCAUAAAUAUGAAACGAUGCCCAUUUGAGGCCUUUGGUGCUAUUGGCCCGAUGACAUCCAUACCCCACAUAGACAAUGGUCAUGAAGAAGUCAUAACAUGAAGAGGCGAAUGAGGUGCGUGCAUUUUAUCACCAUAAAUUUGACAUUUAUGGCACCUCUUGGCGUAAUUGAUACAAUCCUCCUCUAUGGUGGACCAGUAAUACCCGAAUAUCAUAAUCUGCCUUGCCAACGCGAACCCACUAGCAUGCGUUUCGCAAAUGCCCUCAUGGACCUCCUCCAAGAUUUUCUUAGCUUUCACAGCGUCCACACAUCUUAACAGUACCUGAUCUUUUCCUCUCUUGUAUAAGAUUUCUCCAUCUAAGACGUAAUCAAUGGCUAGUCUUCUCAGAGUCCUCAUAUCAUUCUCAGUUACCUGGCCAGGAUACUCACGAUUCUUUACUUAUCGUAGUAUAUCUUGAUACCAAGGACUAUCAUCCACUUCCCCUUCUUCAAUAUUAUAACAAUGAGCCGGACCCUCAUAGAUGCUCAUUUGGAUAGGCUUCAUGUCCUCCUGUCUAUUCACUUUGAUCAUGGAGGCUAACGUAGCCAGUGCAUCGGCCAUCUGGUUCUUGUCUCGUGAGAGAUAGAAAAAAGUAAUGUCCUCGAACUCCUUAAUCAAUUCAAGGACCAACUUUCGAUAACUGACUAAUUUGGGAUCUCUCAUUUCCCAUUCUCCCUUGAGUUGGUAUAUCACCAAUGUCGAAUCCCCAUAGACCUCUAGCACUUUAAUUUUACGCUCUAUACCUGCAUGAAUGCCCAUGAUGCACGCUUCAUAUUCUGCCAUGUUGUUUGUACAAUCAAAAUCCAAUUUGCAAGUGAAAUGAUAAUGAUCACCGUUCGGGGAUACUAAGACUGCCCUAAUUCCAUUGCCCACAGCGUUCGAGGCCCCAUCAAAGUUUAGCUUCCAACUGUGACCUUCUUGAGAAUUUUCUUCAAUAGUGGCUACAUACAUCAAGUCUUCAUUUGGGAAAUCAAAACUCAAUGGCUCAUAAUCCUCCAAAGCUCUACUAGCCAGAAAGUGCACAAUUGCACUUCCUUUUACAGCCUUUUGACUCACAUAGACUAUAUCAAAUUCAGACAGUAAAAUUUACCACCGGGCCAUCCUCCCAUUCAAAACAGUCGACUCCAUCAUAUACUUUAAAGGGUCUAAUUUUGAAAUUAGCCAAGUCGUAUGGUAUAGCAUAUACUGCCUUAAUCUUCGGGUUGUCCAAAUGAAGGCACAACACAACUUCUCAACAGGCGAGUAUCUCAUUUCACAGUCAGUGAAUUUCUUGCUGAGAUAAUAUAUCGCCAUUUUUUCUUUCCCGUUUCAUCAUUUUGACCUAGCACACACCCCAUGGAAUUAUCAAACACCGUUAGAUACAGUAUCAGCGGCCUAUCCGGGCUAGGUGGUGACAGCACUGGAGUAUUAGACAAGUACUGUUUUAUCUUGUUAAAGGCUUCCUCGCAUUCUUCAUCCCAUGUACCAGGAUUAUGUUUCUUCAGAAGACAAAAUAUGGGGUCACAUUUCUCGGUUAGUUGUGAAAUGAACCUAGCAAUAUAAUUCAGUCUUCCUAAGAAACCUCAAACUUCUUUCUGAGUGCGAGGCAGAGGUAAAUCUCGUAUUGCCUUCACUUUGUCUAGGUCAAUCUCGAUUCCCUUUUCACUGACUAUGAAGCCUAGCAAUUUUCCUGACCUGGCCCCAAAAGUGCACUUCGCUGGAUUAAGCUUGAGCUGGAACUUUCUCAAUCUUAAGAAUAAUUUUCUCAAGACCUACACAUGUUCCUCCUCCAUUCUAGAUUUCGCGAUCAUAUCAUCAACAUAAACCUCGAUCUCCCUGUGCAUCAUAUCAUGGAACAAGACUACCAUAGCUCUUUGGUAUGUCACUCCCGCAUUCUUUAAUCCAAACGACAUCACUUUAUAACAAAACGUCCCCCAUAACGUAAUGAACGUAGUCUUUCUCAUGUCCUCAGGAUGCAUCUUUAUCUGAUUGUACCCCGAAAAACCAUCCAUGAAGGAAAACAAUGAAUAGCCUACCGUAUUAUCUACUAAUGUGUCGAUGUGGGUAAUGGGAAGUUGUCUUUUAGACUAGCCUUAUUCAAAUCCCGGUAAUCCACACACAUUCGUACUUUUCCAUCUUUAUUUGGAACUGGUACGAUAUUGGCCACCCACUCAGAAUACUUAACUUCUUGCAGAAAUCCGACAUCAAAUUACUUCUGGACCUUUUCUUUUAUCUUCAACACAAUAUCAAGCCUCAUCCUUCUGAGCUUUUGCUGCACUGGCUUACAAUCUUUUCUUAUAGGAAGGCGAUGGACUACAAUGUCAAUACUUAACCCAGGCAUAUCUUGGUGUGACCAUGCAAAGACAUCUUUGAAUUCCUGGAGUAGUCUGAUGAAGCCUUGUCUUGUCUUUGCAGAGAUAUUAGAUCCGAUCUUCACCUCUUUUCCUUCCUCCAGGCUCACAAUUUCUAUUGAUUCAUUGUGAGGUAGGAGUUGUUUCUCAGCCCGUUCUACCAUCUUCAACAAAUCAGGAGACAAACCACCAUCUUCAUCAUCUUCAAAAUCCUGUGACCCCUCUAAACACAUGUUUUGUUCAAAAGGAGAUUCUGAAUUUGUAAGAGUGACAUUCGUAUCAUUAAUAUCGAGGGACCUGUUAUAGGUAUAAAAAGAAUAUGGAUUCAGGAAUAACUACUUGUGCAAUAUGGUCAUGAAUGAGAUGCAAGAAUAAUUUGAAAGAAAAAUUCAAAACAGCUACUCAUAUGGAAAGAAAGAAAAUUUUACUCCAAGAGUGAUUGAAAAGAUGAACUUUAUUAAAAUAACGAUAUUUGGGCAUGAGCCUAUUUCACAAAGGAAUCCUUAUUGCUUCUAGGCUAAAGCAAUAAGGGUGUUCUGGACAUUACUCUGAGGAAGUCCUAAAAACCACAGGUAUGUCUUCUGCAGUUCAAUUGUUUAGCACACUUCCCGGUUCGUAAGGGCGGAUAUCCAACAAAGUUCCUCCCUUUGAUGCUUCUUCACACACGGCAUUAAUAUUUCCUAACUCUGUAUUAAUACUUCCAACUUUUGGCAUUCCUUGAUAAACAAAUCCUCCUGAUACAAAUGUUUUGGAGAUGUGAGGAAAGAUCAUAGGCUCUUAUUUGACUUCAUCACCUGUCAAACGAGCCCUUCUUCUCUCUCGCCUCUUCUCUUGUUCUAUCUUCAUUUGCUUAGCAUCUGGUUUGUAUCCUAAGCCAAAACGGUCAUUCUUGUUCUUCAACACUGGGGCUUCAACUCGACCCUGAAGAUAUCUCCCCAAUCUUUUUCAUGGCAAAGCUCCCUUUCCAACUGUCAACUGAAGACCCAUCUUUGUAGUCUUUGAUAUCCUCAGCAUCGGGAUCCUGUUUCCCUCGGUAACGAAUGUAGCGUUUACGAACUUUAAAGAUCGAAAAGAACAUGUAAUUGCAUCCUAGCUGGUAUCUAAAUACAGCGUAUCAUUGGCUACCGCUGCAAUAAUAUCCUCUUCAGCGUUUAUCGUCACUAGUCGACCUUCCAACACCAACUUCAGCUUUUGAUGCAACGAUAAUGGUACCGCUCCUGCUGAAUGUAUCCAUGGCCUUCCUAAUAGACAACUGUACGAAGGCCUAAUGUCCAUCACUAGGAAGUCCACCUCGUAGAUAGUUGGGUCAAUUAACAAAGGUAUGUCAAUUCUUUCUAUGACCCUCCUUUCAGUGCCGUCAAAUGCCCUCACUAGGUUCUGGCACGACUUCAUAUGCGAACUAUCCACAGGUAGCCUAUUGAGUGUGGACAAGGGCAAUACAUUCAAUACCGAUCCGUUAUCUACCAGAACUCCCGGUAAUAUGAACCAUUUACACCUGGUAGUGAUGUGUAGAGCUCUGGUAGACCCCAUGCCUCCAGGUGGUAUUUCGUCAUCGUUGAAGAAGAUGAAGUUAUCAGUGCUUAUAUUGCCGACCAGUCGAUCUAGUUUGUUGACAAAAAUAUCAUCGGCCACAUAGGUUUCGUUUAGUACUUUCAAUAGUGCAUUUCGAUGCCCCUCCGAGCUCAGGAGUAAAGCUAGCAUAGAUAUGUGAGCUGAUUGUUUGUGCAACUGUUUCACAACGCUGUACUCGCUAUGCUUCAGAAAUUUUAAAAACUCUCUAACUUCCUCUUAUUUUAUUGGCUCAUUAACCAAUAAUUCAGGUUCGACCGCGUUCUCUUUUUUUUCAUCCGAAGCUUCUUCUUUUGUUGGCUCUACCUGAGCUUUCAUCUAAUCGCAGUGCUUUCCAUUAUGAGUAUAGGAACCCCUAUCCUGGUCCUCCUUACUAGUCACACCCUCUUUCCCUGGAAUUGUCACAUUACAAUCGUAAUUCCAGGGAACCCUCAUGUUAUCCUUAUAAGCAAAAACGUAAGGUUUCUAAAUGAUAACCCUCGGUGUUACCCGUGCUCCAGCCUCACUAUUCUUAGGCCGCAUAAUGAUGACCACAGGAUAAUUAGCCUUUGGAACUUCCAAUACUGACUCUAACGCGCAUACAUGACUCUCCUCCUAAACUCCUUCACAGAAUUCCAUUACCUUAUUAUCCAUCAUAAAUUGCACCAUGGCUCUGAACUCCGCACAUUCCUGGAUUUCAUGCCCCAUUUCAUGGUGGAACUCACAAUAGUCUCCCUUCUUUCCGCAACAUUCUUUCGAAACGAUCAGUCCCCUUUUCACCAUCUCCUUCCAAACCCAAUUCAAAGGAGUUUUUACAUCCAUGAUGUCUGCCUUAAUUCUUCUGUUUUCACUCAUCAUAUUUACCCCAUUGUCAGUGUGGUUUGGUAAUGGAUUUUCUGCACUGGUCGAAUCAUCAAAUUUGACCACACCCAAAUCGAUGAGCUUUUCCACCAAUUUCUUAAAGGCAGUAAAAUUUUCUAUGAAAUGUCCCAUAAUUCCCGCAUGAUAGUCGUAUUAUGCCUUCACAUCGUACCAUUUGGGAUACGGGGGUUGUAAGGGCUUUAAAUAGGAAAGGGAAACCACGUGUGCGUCGAACAAAUUCUUAUACAGCUCCCUAUACGAUAUUAGAAUUGACGUGAAUUGAGGCAUCAUUCUGUUACUCUCUCCAGCAUUGAUCUUCCUACUUCUUAUGGCAUUCUCAAUCAUCUCACCAUUCAUGACUAUAUCAUGAAAUAUUUUUGUAGCACUCCCUAACAUAUGUGUAAUGAACGGUGCAUUCAGUGUGUUAAUGAAUAGCAUAGUCAUUUCUUUUUUCAAAAACGGUGGUUGAACUUGGACCGCGACUUCCCUCUAUCUUUGUGCGUACUGCCUAAAACUUUCGUUUGGCUUCUUCUCCAUAUUUUGAAGGGUGAUUCUAUCAGGAGCCAUGUCUGUCACAUGACUAUACUGUUUCAUGAACGCCUAUGCCAAAUCCCUCCAUGAACAAAUCGUGGUACGACUCAGUUGAUUGUACCACUUAGAUCCUGCCCCUGCAAGGCUAUCCUGAAAAUAUUGUAUCAAGAGCUGGUCAUUGUUAACAUAUCCCGCCAUUCGCCUGCAGAACAUGGUGAUAUGAGCUUCUAGGCAACUUGUCUUGUUGUACUUCUCGAGUUCUGGCAUCUUAAACUUAUGGGGAAGUACCAAAUUCGGAACUAAGCUCAGCUCUUUAGCGUCAAUCCCACGAUAGCUUUCAGUGACUUUCAUCGCUUUGAAUUUCUCCUCGAGCCAUUUGCACCUUUCCUCUGCUGCUUUUGUAACUCCUCCUUUAUUCUUUCCUUUUCAGGCACUUCAUCGAAGUCAGGAAUGACAGAGUUAGCAGGGUGGUUUUCGGGGUUAGAGCCCAAUCUAGCUUGAAAGUUUGAAGCAUCGGUCUAGAACUGCUGAGGCCUAAUUGUGACAGUAGAUUUGUGCAGAUAUUCAGCUUGAGUUCGAACAUGUGGAGGAGUAAAGCUUGGAGGAUAGAAUAGUUCAUCUUCAUCACCCUCUUCGACAUCAGCCAUGGGGCCCUUUCCCUUAUCACCUCCUCCAGUCAACAGUUUGGUUAGCUUUGCCAUUAUAUUAUUUUGGGAUUCCUGCAUCCUCUUUGACAUAUCCUGUUGCAUCUUGUCCAACUGCUCUUGUACUUGUAGCUGAAGUCGGUCUUGCAUCUCCUUUUGGUAUUGUUCGAGCUUUUCCAAUCUCUGAUCCAUGUCUUUUGUCUUUGCUCGAGUGCCGUAUCGGUGUUUGGUUGGUUGGUUGGUUUCCAGGUUAACUGAGCAAUAAUUUUAAUCAGAACCCUCUUAACAAUUUAAUGCAUGAAAUGCGAUGUAUGAAAAUGAAUGCAAAAAGGCGUCAAUUCUAAUUUUAAUUACUUUCAAAAACUUUAUUAGAAAACAAAUCUCUUUACAUAGAAUAGGAUACAAAUAUGACUUUGCCAUAAUACUUAGACAUUGAUCUUUUUAAGCAACGAAGCUAAUUCUUGUCCCCGGUCUGACUCCAAUUCAUACUUCACGCUCAAUGUGUCAGCUUGUACUGCUAAAGUUUGUAGGUGAUCUGCCACUUCUCGAAUCUGAGCCACAGCUUCUCCUAUAACACGAUCCCUGUUUCUGACUUGAUUCUAGAAAUAAUGAAGUUGCUCACUCUGACGACAUUUCUUUUCCUCUAAAUGCUCAAUCCGAACCUCACAAUUUCGCAAUGCUGCUUCUAACCCCUCUAUUUUACUCUUCAUCUCUUCAAUCUUACUCAGACUUACUUUCAGCUUUGUUACAGAGUUUCGACUUCUAUGCUGAUGAAGAGACCCUUCUAACUCAACCACUCUGUCAUUCAAUUCACCUCUUUCCUUUUUACUUUCUAACAAGCUUUUCUCUAAGGCUUCAUUUUAUGUUUGUACCUCUUGAAAUUUCCUUUCCCACCGGUCUGACUUGUUUCUUUCUUCUCGAAGUUCUUCACGCCACUGUUCUAAAGUUUUUCCAAGCCCUACAGUUCUUAUUGAGAGCCACAACUUUUUGUAAUCUGUCUUCAAGCUAUCUAACUCUUUCUCAUCUUUAUUCUUCCCCUUCCUUAUUUUAUCAACCUCGAGCUUUUGAAUAUCCACAUCCAGUCUCAAAUUCACCUUUUCUUCCUCCAUUUGCUCUAUUUUCUUCUCUAAUUAUGCAUUUCUUCUUUCAAAGUCUUGCUUUAUGAUUUCCAGCUCAGAAGGGAGUACCCGCAAAUGCUCCUCUAUCGACUGACUAUUUCCUAAACUCGACCCAAUAAUGUUAUCGUUGAUCCUCUUAACCCACCAUUCACUAUACUCGGAAGUUUUCAUUGGACCCACAGCUAAUCUCUUCAUUCAGUGAAUCUGAUUCCACGCAUUGGCCAUCUCACGAGCUUUCUUUUCGUAACCUUCACCUCUAUACGAUAAUUCACACUCGACCAAUCCUUGAGUUGUAGGCACAAACUGCCUUGACUUGUAUUGCCUUAGCACUAGCAAUUGAGCAUAACCAACAGCACCCCAAAUUCCAAGCAAAGGAACCCAAUCAAAAUCCUCACACCGAUAUAGGAUCUCAUUCGGAAGCAACCACAGAGCUCUCCACUCGAUAUCCUCUUCUUGCAGAUUUUGAAAAAUUACCAUCCAUUUCUCCUCCGAGAUGUUAUCUCUUCUUGUCGUAGCCACUAUCUCCUUCAAUGGUGAAUAACCUUCAGAGAAGACCCGAUAUGAAACUUUACCCACCUUUCAAAAGUGGAUGUGGAACCACGCAAGUAGAAACUGUACACAUCUAAUAAAUCUACCCUCUCCCGCUCUCCGACAUGCAUUUAGUGGGCUAAAGGUUUCUGCCAAAAUUACCAGGACUAGUGUAACUCUCUUAUCAAGUUGAUCAAAUAAAUCAGUGAUCGCCUCGUCAACAUGUCCCAAAAUCCUUGGAAACACAAUUAAACCAUAUAUACUUAAAGCAAAGACAUCUACCUUCUUCCUCAUGUCUGGGUGUGUCAAAAUAAGAUCUUUCAAAUUUUUCCAGGGAAUACACCUGCUAUCCCUUUUUUCUUAAUCCGAGCUGUAACCCACUGCUCACUCAUCCCCGUUAUAUUCAUCAACUUCUUCAAGAAGGUCGGUACAUUUACUACUUUCGAGUAGAUUCUAUCUACUUGAAUCCUCGAACACCGAAGUAAAGCCAAGUAUUCUUCUAUUGUAGGCACCAAAUCAACCUUCCCGAAUGUGAAGCAACUAUAAGCCGGAUUCUAAAAUUGGGCAAGAGCUCGAAAUAGACGCUUGUCUACCUUCAUAUCAAGUAAAUAAGGCAAAUCCCCAUAAUUUGAAUAGAAUAACUGUCUAACCUCAUUAUUCCACUAAUCUCAAAUCUCCUUCAACUCCUGCAAGUUGUUCUGGGCUACGCUAAUACGGGUGAAGUCCCAUAAUUCUGAUAUGUAUCCCUCGGCCAAACUAUCACCUUUUUCGCGCUACAUCAUCUCAGCCCUAGUUCGAACAGCCGCAUUAUCCUCCACUCUAUCAAGAAACCCAUCUCCCAUGAUAAAAUUUUCUAUCUAGCACCGAAAACGAACCAACGCCUUUUAUAAUGACAUGCCAUGCAAUCAUAAUUUCAUGCAAUCAAAACAAAAUAAACCCAAGUUAGUGUCACGCAUAAAGACAUAAUCCAUCACAAAAUAGUAAUACUUAUCCAGGAAUUCACUAGAGUUUGUUACAGCUAUACCUAGGGAAAGUUCCUAAAGCUCACUACAUGAGGUUUAGUUUCUAAAGUAAGGGUACCCGAACCAGCAGAUUCCUCGAUCCUCACCCAUUAUAGGCUCAUAUGGAUCGAGUUCAGUUCAGGGGAAUACAUUUCCCUAUGGCUGCACGGAGAUGAAAAUCUCACGAAGACAUAGGUACGGAUGUAUCCCGAAAGUAGUCCACUACCCUGCACAGAGGUGAAAACCUCACGAAGGACUAGUUUCUCGCUCCCACUUAAAGGGUAAAACUGACCAUGUGAUGCAAAAUGCAAAUACAAAGUAACCGACUUGGUCCAAUCAUGCAAACAUAUCAUGAUAAAAAUCAAUGAAUGCAAAGGGAAAACAUGAUUUAAAAAAACUUUUGAUUUUCGACAAAAAAGACAAAACGUAAUCAAUUCAUGGCUCAACUCUCUAAAAUCCCCAGUGGAGUCGCCAAGCUGCCGAAACCGUUUUUUGAAAACAAAAAUUUAGUUGUCGACUUUUAAAAAAACGAAAAUUGGAGUCGCCACCGAUCUUUGAUUGAGGUGUGAUCAGCUCACCUUAAAAACAAUUCUGGUCUACGACAUUUGAGAAAAUAGGUUCGGGAGUCAGUUACGCACGAGGAAGGGUUAACACCCUCGCAACGCCCAAAAAUCGGUACCGAAUUUGAUUGUUUAAUGUCUUGGUGUCGAAAAUUUGAAAAGAUUUUAAAAGAAACCUUUUAACUCGUGAAUGAAUCAAAAUAAAACAUUCUUAUUUCAAAGAAAUAAAACAUCACACCCAUUGAGUUAGGGCACAAUAUUUUUAAAUCUUCAAAAUAUUGAGUAUUGCCUUUUGUUUUUGAAAUCCUUAUUUCGAGAUAAUAAAAUGUCAUGACCAGUAAGUUAGGACCCAACAUUUUUGAAUUCCCGAGAAUAAGUUUUUAUUUGAAAUUUGUGAAUUUAUUGCAAAACAAAUACUUGGCUUUUUAAAUCCAUCGAAAAAUAAUCGCAAUCCAGUAAGUUAGGACACGAUCUUUCUCGAGAAUCAUGAAUGCCAAAUAUUUUGGAAAUUUGUAAAAUAUGAUGAUUUUAAUGCUUUGACGCAACCAGAAUAUAUAUUUUCUAAAAGGCAUGUUAAAAAGUUAAUGUAUAACAUGAAACAAAUACUUCGAUUUAAAAUAUAUAUGUAUAUAUAUUUACAAAGUAUGAAUAUAUAUAGACAUAAUAUAUAGGUGAAUUUUGCAAAUAUAGGUAUGGCUAUAAAAUACCAAAGAUGCAUACAUAUUUGAAAACGUUUAUGCAUAUAUAUGUACACAAAAGUCAUGAAACUAACAAUAAUAAAAUACAUAUGAAAUAUAUUUAUGCAUUUACAAAAAAAUGUAUAAUAUAGUAUAUUGGUAAAUAUAAUAAUGUGGAAAAUACAUUUAUAGUAAGUUUUAAAUAGAGUUGGAUAUAUAUGUACAUAUUAUAUAAAAAAAUAUACAAACCUGUAUAAAUUAUAAAAUAUGGAAAACGUGUAACUAUUAUAAAAUAUAAAUGUAUAUGUAUAUAUGUAUGAAAAAAACUAUGAAAAAAAAAAAAAAAAAACUAUGUACAUAAUAUGUAUAUGCAUUUAAAACGUUUAAAAUGUAUACCUAUAUAUUUACAUACAUAUGCGCAUAUAGAUACAAUGAUAGUAACAUAUAAUAUAAUAAAUAAAAAUAUAAACUAAUAAUGAUACAGUAAUAAUAAUAUAAAUAAACAGUAUUAAUAAUAAAAAAUUAGAAUAAUAAAUUCAAGAUUAGGUUGAAAAUAAAUAGAAUUUAAGGGCUGAAUUCAAAAAAAAUGAGAAAGGGAGCAAAUUAAAACACGCGUAACAGGAGGAGGACCGAAAGAGCAAUUUACCAAAACCACCCAAAACACUGCGCAGCAAUGGAUUGAAAUAAAACAAAUUCAAUAUUUCAUAGGAAAAAUUGGAAACAGAAAACAAUGAUUUUGAAACGAUAGGAUUAAAAUGAAAGGAUUAAAAACGUAAAUAACCCAUCAAUGCUUUAAAACCCUUUUCAAUCCCUAAUUAAAACCCAAUUCCAUUUGCAGCAUAGUAGCCGCAAGAAUUGUUUCAUCCUCUCCCCUGCUCUUCACGCCAAAAUCCUCCUUUCAACUUCGAUUUGGAUGAAGCGAAACAAAGAUGUCGACGGUGCGCCACCGUUGGUAAGAAUCUUCCCUCCUUCUCUUUUCUUUUAUUUAUUAUUAUUUUUUAAAAAACCAAUAGAAAAAUGAAACAAAAAGCAGUAAAAAAACAGAAUAAAUAGAUCACCUUCGACAAUUGUUUUCUUUUUCUUUCGUAUUUCCGUAUUCUCUCUUUACAAUCCGUCCCCAUUUUACAAAAUAAAACGGCUUUAUAUAGCCCGAAAAAAGAAAAAUAAAUUGAAUAUAAUUGCUAUUUUUUGUUGUUUCUUCUCUUUCAGACUCUUUGAGUUUGUGCUUACAAGUGUUUGUGGAGCACACGUGGAGGAGUCGGCCUCGAGACGUGCGGCGGUUGGAGGCUUUGCUAGAAGCGGCGAGGCUGAUGCUAGGGUUUCCUAACCCUUCCUUUUCCAUUAAUUUCGGGCCUGGGUUAGGAAUUAGCUAUUGGGCCCGUUAUUGGAUUUGUAACAAAAUUGGACUGAAACAUUAGCUUUUGUUUCUGUUUGGUUUUUAUUUAUUUAACGGGCCGGGCAGAAAUUGGGCCCUACAACAUAAUUAAAUUUUUAUCUAUAGAAAAUGGUAAAUGUUGGUAUAUAAAAUUAUUUCUUAAUAAUAUAUCUCCAUGAAUUGCAGGGAAACAUAAUAUUUUGGGUGUCACUAAUCUUACAUUAUUUAUGUAGAUUGGUACAUUUCUAGCUUUAUAUUGGAUUAUGGUUUCACUACAUUCUAUUCCUAUUGCUUUUAUUGGAUGUUUCAUAGGUUUCCAUUUUUCUACAGGAAUGUCAUUCUUUCUGCAACUACUGGUUGUAGCUCCUAUAUCUAAUAAAGCAUGCAAAGAAUAUAUUUUAUAUUCUCUAAAUUGAAAUGUAAUUUCAAUAUAUAUGUAAUAUUUCCUGGAUUGGAAAUUUGAAAAUGUAAUUACACCACUUAUUCCAAUUUUUAUUUGUUGAAUAAUUGUUGAAGUUUGUAUUUCUUCCAUUCUAGUGUUUCUAGAAUUUCUACUUGGUUUUGUAAGAAAAAUAGGAAUAUGAACUGUUUUCAUUCCUAUUGAAGUAGAACUUAUACAUGUAUUAUCCUCUUCUUCUUUUAUUUGAGUAUUUGAGGGUAAAAUUAAAUUGUUAUUUGUAUUUGUUAUAGCAAUAUUUUU